GUUGCGGUGGCAGAGCCUGGCCCACUGCAAAAGACCUAAGCCCUUUCAACAGAGGUUCAAGUCCUCUCCCCAACU
rnacentral:tRNA from 1 species